CGCACGGGUGCGUAACGCGUAUGCAACCUACCUCUAACUGGGGAAUAGCCCCGAGAAAUCGGGAUUAAUACCUCAUAACAUUUAUCAUUCGCAUGUUUGAUAAAUUAAAGUUUCGGCGGUUAGAGAUGGGCAUGCGUGACAUUAGCUUGUUGGUGAGGUAACGGCUCACCAAGGCUGCGAUGUCUAGGGGUUCUGAGAGGAUUUUCCCCCACACUGGUACUGAGACACGGACCAG
rnacentral:rRNA from 1 species